CUGGAGGCCCGAGGGCUUCUGGGAAAAUUCACUGGCACUGAGAGCAUGAAAUGCCAUCUUCCUGCCCUUUGGAGACUACCAUGGACUGUUAAAAACACCAGCGUCAUUAUGGGCGACCGUCUGGCCCGGGUUGCCUCCGUGUCUCAGUUUAGCACUAGAAGCCUGGCAUCCGGGACACCCUUCUGACCCAGGCCAACGGGGACGGUGGUCACUUGAGCUCCGCUUCAGCCUCUUUUAGUUCUAGAAGUGAAAUUAAUCAGAACGAGAAUUGAACUACCCGCAUCACCUUCCAGAAUGUUCUCAAUCAUCACAUACCGGAGGUGCUGUUUUCACCUCCAUUUUCACAUCAAGAAACUCAGGCACAGAGCUGCGAGGCAACUUGCCUAGUGCAGAACAGCCAGUGAGUGUGGGGCCAGGGUGUAAGCCCUGCUGCUCUGGAGCGGCGGGCGGCAGAGGCUCAGACUAAGGUGCCUACCCACCCUGCAAACACCUAUUUAUUAUACCAAAAAGGAUUUAAGCUCCUAAAGAAAGGUUAAGUCGUGUCCAUGGGGAAGAUUUCAAAGCAGCCAGGAUGUGAUCUGUGAUGAGUGGCUUCUCUCCAGCCCCACCCCAGUCUCCUGACUCUCCGUUGGAGGAACUGAUGCCAUCAGUGUGUCACGUGGCCAGCCUUCCUCCGCCGGCUUCGAGAGAACGAGGGCUUGAGGCGUGGUGCAUGGAAGGAAUUAGCUUCUCUCCUCUGCAUCCCGAGUGGUACCGGUUAUGAACCAUCCUUCGGUGAACUGAGCCUUUGUCCCUUGUGUCAUUUUCCGCAUUCUGUGCCAGAUCCUGACCCCCAGCUGGUCGGUUAAACCAGCCCUUCCAUACCUCUCUUUCCCCUUCCUCUAUCUCGGAGAGGGCGCAUUGUUAGCGUGCACACCUGCCUCUGGGUUCCGGCUGUGUGGUACCCCACGGUGGGUGCGUGUAACUCAUAAUGUGCCUCCUCUGACGGGCAUGCAGUUCGCUCGAGUCUUUUGCGUGUGUGCUUCCAUG
rnacentral:lncRNA from 1 species